UGGUUCUGGCAUCGAUGAAGAACGCAGCGAAAUGCGAUAAGUAAUGUGAAUUGCAGAAUUCAGUGAAUCAUCGAAUCUUUGAACGCACAUUGCGCCCUCUGGUAUUCCGGAGGGCAUGCCUGUUCGAGCGUCAUUACAACCCUCAAGCUCUGCUUGGUGUUGGGCCUCACCAGCUCUGGUGUGCCCUAAAAUCAGUGGCGGUGCCAUCUGGCUCUAAGCGUAGUACAACCCUCGCUAUGGAUGCCUGGUGGAUGCUAGCCAGCAACCCCAAUUACUUCUGGUUGACCUCGGAUCAGGUAGGGAUACCCGCUGA
rnacentral:misc_RNA from 1 species